rnacentral:tRNA from 1 species
GCUCCAGUGGCGCAGUUGGUUAGCGCAUGGUACUUAUAUGACAGUAUUCAUGUAUUAAACCUGAUUCGCUGAAGUAAUGCCGAGGUCGCGAGUUUGAGCCUCGCCUGGAGCA